UACGUAGGGAGCGAGCGUUGUCCGGAUUUACUGGGCGUAAAGGGCGCGUAGGCGGUCUGUUAAGCGUGAAGUGAAAUCUCCAGGGCUCAACCCGGAAACUGCUUUGCGAACUGGCAGACUAGAGGAAGGUAGAGGUAAGUGGAAUUCCCGGUGUAGCGGUGACAUGCAUUGAUACCGGGAGGAACACCCAUGGCGAAGGCAGCUUACUGGACCUUAUCUGACGCUGAGGCGCGAAAGCGUGGGUAGCAAACAGG
rnacentral:rRNA from 2 species